rnacentral:tRNA from 1 species
AUUGUCAGCUAUUAAUACAACAAAGGACUGAAAAUCCUUGUGUCCCUGGUUCGAAUCCAGGUGGUACCA